rnacentral:ribozyme from 1 species
AGGUCUGCAAAAGUUGCGCUUGACAUCCCCCGAAGGGCAAUGUCUGGAAGCGGAGUCUUACACAUGCACUUGCUCGUUGUCCCCAGAGACAUUGCCGCUCAUUCUCGGACCAAAUCACCAUUGUUGUGGUAAGGGACGUGUUGGGAAGGGCAU